rnacentral:lncRNA from 1 species
UUGGGGAACAAGUUGUUUAGAGUAAAUGCCCAAUUAAUAGAUAUCUGACAAUCCUAAUAGAAGCUUCCAUGUGUGAAGCCUUGGGAUGUUGCAUCAAUUGACUAAGACACUGAACAACAAAGCUGAAAUCAGGUCUAAUCACUGUUACGUAUAACAAUCUCCCUAUAAGUUUUUAAUAUUGUCACGACCCAAAGUACAUCCUAGUCGUAACAUGGCGUAUAGGACCUCGAGAGACCCAAUACAAGUCACUUAGCAUACAUAUACAAGAUAAUAGAAUCUUAAAGAGUUCAAAAGACAUUUGAAUCAUAAAGAGUUCCAUCAAAAACAGAAGUCUAACAUAAGUCUCAAAGCCACUAUUGGAAAGUGAUUGAAACGUAACCCAUACAUCACAAUAUGAAAUGAAAAGAUUUGAAAGCAAUAAAGAAUCUUGGUCCUCGGAACAUGAGGACUCACCAAUCUUCAAUGUCUAUAUGGGAUCACUGGCCACGAGUGUGCGGAAUGGAAGCGUCGGACCCUACAUUAGUGAAACAAUGUAGGCACAAGUAUGCAUUAGUACAUGGAAUGUACUAAGUAUGAUAACAAUGCAUAAAGAGUAAUGAAAUCUUGCUAAAAGGGACUUUAUAUGACAUGCAAUGAUCAAGCUAAAUCAUAAAAUAACAUGUUAGAAGACAUAAGUCGAAAUCAUGGUCAAUGCAAGCUAAACAUCUUUAAAACACAUUUGAGAUACUUCUAGAAGUAACCUUAGUUCAUUCUUGUGGGAAGUUUGCCAUUAACUGACAUAGACCAUGUGAGCUAUAACAUGGAAUCUAGUGUCUAUUCCACAUCGAAAAGAGAUGUCCUUACUUGCCAAGGUAAGAACCAUAAACUUCUAGCUUAGGUGGAUCCACUAGCUAAUCUCUAUCUAAGACAACCUAUGGUGACACAUAGUUAUGUGAUAGGGAGAUUGCUACUAGAAACCCAGCCUCAACUAUGGGAGAGCUUCCAUCUUGAUAUCCUCUCGGUGCUAAUUAAGCAUAAAUCCCACGGAAUAGUCAUUAAUCUUAACUUAUCUUAUUAUCCAUGGAAGGGCACAUGAAGUAGCCAAUCAAAGCUAGAAUUCAUUAUAGCCAAUCCUAGGUGAGAAAACCUUUCAACCUUGUGAAUCAUUUAUGUGAGCAAAUCCUUUCACAAUAACUUCAUAUGUGAGAAAUCCUUUCACAACAACAAUUCAUAAAGAAACAUGCAUAUCUUCAUAAAUUCAUCUUUCAUAUUUCAAAAGCUUCAUCAUAUAAUCAAAAUCCAGAAAAUUAUGGAUCAUGCAUGGGUUCAAUUGCAUUGAACUUAAAAACAUGUAGUUAUCUCAAUUCAUGCAUAAAAAUACAUAAAACAAUCAAUUGGAUCAUAAUUGAGAGCAACCCAUGAAAUUGAAUAAAACCCUAAUUUCAAUUGGAGAACUCUAACUUGUAAUAUUGGAGAAUUUAGGAACCUUAUGGAGGAAAGAACUCCACAGGUGAAUACUAUCAUACCUUGAUGUCAAAAACCCCCAAUCAAUGGUGAAUUUGGAGACUGGAUCCUGAAACCCUAGACUAGUUUAUCAAACAUAUCAAGCCUAUUUAAGAAUGACAAGAAGGUACAUCUAUUAAUUGCCUGUGUAGACUUUGGCCUAUUCAAGAAUGACAAGAAACAACAUGCAUUAAUUAGUUUUUGUACAUUUCGGGUUACCUAAAAUGUUAACAAUAACAUACUUUUUGCAGUCUUCCAACUGGGAUCUUUGAAGGGUAGGAUGUAAGCAGAUCUUACCUCUACCUUCGUAAGUCAGAGACUAAAAAACUCUCGAUUCAAAAGGAAAGUACCUAGGAUACAAAAGAAAUGUAACAAUAAGAGGUUACCUAAAUGUUACUGAUGGUAAUCGUCCAUAAAAUACAAUAAGUUAAAUGCAAUCAUGUAUAGUUGGCUCAUCACUUCGUUUGAGUUGGAUGUUGGUUUGCAACCAUUGCAGGAAGAAUCAGUACUAAGUAAUUAGGAAAAGGAAAUUGAACAGAUAGAGCAACAACAAAAUACAUGUUUUAUCGCAAAUACUUCUUAACUAAAUCAAUCAACAAAGAAAAUAAAAACAACAUUCAGCUGCAAAAUUCUCUUUUGUAUUCAGAUUGCAUAACGACAAUCACAAGAAGCUCAGCUCAAAAACAUAAAAAACUGAAUUGUAUCGCAACUUCAAGCAACAUGAGAAAUUGUAGCUAUAACUUAUAGAACAACCUUGAAUUCCUUAAAAUACCUAUAGAAAUAACCUAUUAUAAUCAAGAAACUCGCCUUGAAACUAUAUACUCAAGUGAAAUCCUCACUAACCACAUAACUGAAAAGUAGCAAUAAGAUGAUUUUCAGUUCACUCGAGUAGCCAACAUGUCUAUAGAUAUGAUUGCACAAGUGUAUAAACAAAUUCGUAACAAUGACCACGAUUUAAUUUUCUGACUGUUCUUCCCUCAUUUCAAACAAAUCAUACUAAUUACUCCCAAACUCCAAAAAAAAGAAAACAAUCAAACCAUGUAAAGACAAAAGCAUAAAGUACCUGUAACAAUUAGCAAAGUUCAAAAAAAAAAAUUCAAUUACAAUACUUAGAAACCAGUAGAACACGAAUUGAAAAUAUUGAUUCUUAAUUUCAGCUUCAAUUCUACAAAAAUUGAAACAAGUAGAAAUAGGAAUUACUUAACAAAUCAUAUAUAUAAAUAUAUCAAAAUAUAUUAAAAACUCGAAGAGAUUUAACUCGAAGCUCCAAUUCUCCUUCAGAAAUUCAUACUAAGAACAACUCUUCUUUCACACACACAUACACUAUCAUAGAAGGUUGUGAACGUGUUCAGAAAUUUCUCAAACUUGUGAGAAAUACCAAAACCCUACCUGAAACGAAGUUGAUGAAGCGAGAUCUUCUUGCUCCUAAGCAAACUAGUAAUGGAUGACCCACUUCUCAAUGGACUCUUCGAUCAAGACCUUCCGACGAUAACCCACACACCACCUCUUCCUUAUAUGCCGAGAAGAAACCUUGUUUUCUUUCCAUUUCCUGGAAAAAAUCAAAAUCCCAAAAUAUUUUUCAACCAAACAAAUAGACUUAAGGGUUAGCAUGAACGAAAUUUCUAGGUCAUAAAUUGCAUAAUCACAUAAGAGAGUAGAAUCUAGAAAGGGCACUUAGCUGAAGAGAUGGAGCAAAAUUCUUUAAGAAUGAAAUUUAGGUCUCUGCUUCUAUUUUUUUCUGGUAAUUACUCCUUAAUAUCGACAAUGUCUUCCAAUAAUAGCAUUACAAUCAAAAUGGUAUAUCAUAACAAACC